GCCGCCGUAGCUCAGUCUGGGAGAGCGCCCGGCUGAAGACCGGGAUGUCCGGGGUUCAAAUCCCCGCGGCGGCA
rnacentral:tRNA from 1 species